GAUGAACGCUGGCGGCGUGCCUAAUACAUGCAAGUCGAGCGAACAGACGAGGAGCUUGCUCCUCUGACGUUAGCGGCGGACGGGUGAGUAACACGUGGAUAACCUACCUAUAAGACUGGGAUAACUUCGGGAAACCGGAGCUAAUACCGGAUAAUAUAUUUAACCGCAUGGUUCAAUAGUGAAAGACGGUUUUGCUUUCACUUAUAGAUGGAUCCGCGCCGCAUUAGCUAGUUGUUAGGGUAACGGCUUACCAAGGCAACGAUGCGUAGCCGACCUGAGAGGGUGAUCGGCCACACUGGAACUGAGACCCGGUCCAGACUCCUACGGGAGGAAGCAGAAGGGAAUCUUCCGAAAAGGGGGAAAGCCUGACGGAGCAACGCCGCGUGAGUGAUGAAGGUCUUCGGAUCGUAAAACUCUGUUAUUAGGGAAGAAAAAAGGUGUAAGUAAAUAUGCACGUCUUGACGGUACCUAAUCAGAAAGCCACGGCUAACUACGUG
rnacentral:rRNA from 1 species